rnacentral:lncRNA from 1 species
CGGUGCCAGAUACAGAAAUAAAUUACGAGUGCAUUAUGAGUUCUAAUUACACAUAUAUAACUGAGGCUAGAAGUGGCUGCAAAAUUCAAAAUAUCAAGAUCCAAAAAGGGUCACUUCUAUCAUUAUGCUAUUGGACUCAUUAGAGUACGAGAACAAUCAUACACUCAAGGUUUGCAGAUCCACGGAAUCUUCAUACAAGGGGUAGGUCAUCAGAUGGUUCCUCAUUAUCUUCUUCAUCUAGGAGGU